CAUCACUGAGCUAGAAGCUUUACAAGGGAGUGGGAAUGUGAAGGCCUAGAGGGAAAAUGAGGGAAGGAAAUGUAGCAUUAAUCAAGUGAUCUGGGGUUGAGUUCUAGACAUAAGAAUUUCUGACACACACACACACACACACACCCCCGUCCCCGAAGUUUGAGGGAUAAGUUGAGGGAUAGUGGCCAUUAAAAUUCAGAGCAAGCCUUGACUUCCCCUUCACUAUCAUUCUUACCACCCUAGACAUCUAAGGGAUAACCUUCCCUUCAAUCAACUUGUGAGGGCUAAGAGAAAUGCUACUAGUGAAUCGACUUUCUAUUUGGAAGCAAAAAGUAUUCUUACAAAUUAUAGAGCCAGGGGUUACCCUGAACCUGUAUUGAAAACUGCAUGGAGGAGAAUCAGUGUCCUACCUCGCAGGGACCUAUCGCAACCAAGACACAAGAAAAAUAAACAGAAUAUAUCUUGGGCUUUGACUUUUACACCUUUAGCACCAAGCAUAAGAAAUGUAAUAUCUAGACAUUGGCAUUUGUUAUCGGAUGUGCCUGGUUGCAAAAACUUGCCUAAGAUAGGUUAUAGAAAAACAGAGAGUUUAAAGGAUAAACUGAUCAGGUCUGAUUACAGACCAGUAAUACGAUACAUUCCUCCUACAGUUGGCCACUUCAAAUGUGGACGUUGUGCAAUAUGUCAACAGUCUCAGAAUACAAAAGAAGUGAUUGAUCCCAAUACUAAUUAUAGGUGGCAGUUAAAACAAUUUUCGAACUGUACAACGGCGAAAUGUAUAUACUUAAUACAGUGUAAGUGUGACUUUGUUUAUAUCGGAAUGACCACUAGAAAUUUGAAAGUGAGAAUCAUAGAACAUAAAUCAAACAUCAGACUCCUUAAAAUGGAUGCACCUUUAGUGUCACAUUUCGUGCAAGCUAAACAUGAUGACACAGAUUUUACAUUUGUAGUACUGUACCAUUGUGACACUCCCUCAUUCAAAUCUAUGGACUUGAAAAAACACUUGUUACAAUGGGAGACCAAAUGGAUAUACAGAUUCAACAGCCACCAAGGUAACGGCUUGAACAAAGAAAUAGAUUUUUCAUGUUACUUAUGAGUCCCAAUUGGUACAUAUGUCUUUAACAAUUAAACGUAGCAAGCACAGCUGUUAAAACUGAAUGUGAGGUUCAUGGAGAAACCUAUUUAAUGGUACUGCAGAAGAAUCCACAAUACACUAGAAAGCCAGAUGGGGAGGUUGAUGAAUGUGAAAAAUUUUCACCAAUAAAUAUUUACCCCGACUAUGGCUGCUAAGAUGUAUAAGUAAUCUGACGAAGAUAUUUCGAAAACGGUUAAAAAAUAGCGCAGUCCGUUUAUUAUACACGGCGUUUACUUUAGUCUUGGAAUCUUCAGAGACCAGACCAUGAGAUAACUGUAUCGGCAUAGGAAGUAUUGUUAUAUACGGAGCUUACUUGAGUUUUGGAAUCUCCAGAGACUGAAACAGGAGACAAUUAUCAACAUAGGAAAGUGAAACUGAAUCAACAAAGAACUGCACACAACGCAUUGAAAGGGAUACUUUAUUGCGACAGUUGUAGCAGAUAGCUACGGUUCUCAAUAUUAGAAUAUAGAAAAAAUAAUGUUGUAAUUGUUGUAAUUGUAUUAUAUGUUAAAUAUACACAUGCGCUUUAUUGUUUAAUACACUAUACUGAGCACU